AAGGCUUGACAUACACUGCGAUGGUUCCAGAGAUGGGCCAGCCUUCGGGGUGGUGUACAGGUGGUGCAUGGUU
rnacentral:rRNA from 1 species